UACGUAGGGGGCUAGCGUUGUUCGGAAUUACUGGGCGUAAAGGGCGCGUAGGCGGUCCUGAUCGUCGGAUGUGAAAGGCCUGGGCUCAACCUGGGAAUGGCAUCCGAUACGGCGGGACUGGAGUGUGGGAGAGGUUGGUGGAAUUCCCAGUGUAGAGGUGAAAUUCGUAGAUAUUGGGAAGAACACCGGUGGCGAAGGCGGCCAACUGGACCACAACUGACGCUGAGGCGCGAAAGCGUGGGGAGCAAACAGG
rnacentral:rRNA from 1 species